rnacentral:rRNA from 1 species
GGCGUGCUUACACAUGCAGUCGAACGCUGAAGCUUGGGUGCUUGCAUCUGGGUGGAUGAGUGGCGAACGGGUGAGUAAUACGUGAGUAACCUGCCCUUGACUCUGGGAUAAGCCUGGGAAACUGGGUCUAAUACUGGAUACUACAUUCUCUCGCAUGGGGGUGUGUGGAAAGGGUUUUACUGGUUUUGGAUGGGCUCACGGCCUAUCAGCUUGUUGGUGGGGUAAUGGCCUACCAAGGCGACGACGGGUAGCCGGCCUGAGAGGGUGACCGGCCACACUGGGACUGAGACACGGCCCAGACUCCUACGGGAGGCAGCAGUGGGGAAUAUUGCACAAUGGGCGAAAGCCUGAUGCAGCGACGCCGCGUGAGGGAUGACGGCCUUCGGGUUGUAAACCUCUUUCAGCACGGAAGAAGCGAAAGUGACGGUACGUGCAGAAGAAGCGCCGGCUAACUACGUGCCAGCAGCCGCGGUAAU